rnacentral:rRNA from 1 species
GAGUUUGAUCCUGGCUCAGAACGAACGCUGGCGGCAGGCCUCAAACAUGCAAGUCUAGGGGGUGUAGCAAUACAUCACCGGCGGACGGGUGCGUAACGCGUGGGAAUAUACCUAUUGGUUCGGAACAACUGAGGGAAACUUCAGCUAAUACCGAAUGUGUCCUUACGGGGAAAGAUUUAUCGCCAAUGGAUUAGCCCGCGUCCGAUUAGCUAGUUGGUGGGGUAACGGCCCACCAAGGCUCCGAUCGGUAGCUGUUCUGAGAGGAAGAUCAGCCACACUGGGACUGAGACACGGCCCAGACUCCUACGGGAGGCAGCAGUUGGGAAUCUUGGACAAUGGGGGAAACCCUGAUCCAGCCAUGCCGCGUGAGUGAUGAAGGCCUUCGGUUGUAAACGUACUUUCGUACGGGGACGAGUAAUGACGGUACCCGUAGAAGAAGCUCCGGCUAACUUCGUGCCAGCAGCCG